GACACCAUAGGGAAGUGGUGGGUAUGACAGCAGACUAUAAAUCUGUUUCCGUUUCCUUUGCCUUUGAGAGUGCAGACAAGAAAUCUGUUGGAAGUGCAGGUUCGAAUCCUGCUGGUGUCC